rnacentral:siRNA from 1 species
GAUCGUCUACAGCUAUAACUGCGA